rnacentral:tmRNA from 1 species
GGGGAUGAAAGGCCUCGACGGAGUUUUUAACAAUGGAUGCUUGGAGCGGAUGGCCGUUUUACCGCUUUAAAACACCGGCUAACUAUAUAGGUGCCAAUUAUUCACCUAAUUACGCUUUCGCCUAACAUCGUUUAGGUAAGCCAUCUCUUCUGCGAUACUCGCUGGCAGGUUAAGAGGUGUCAUUCAGCGAGCUGGACCGAUAAUCGUUAUUUUUCCGAUUGCCGGUUGAGAAAUAUGAAAAAUCAGCUUGAGGUUAUUUUGUUGUGGUUCGCCACAAUCCUGAGAGAAAUCGAAUGGAUUGAUUUUUUAGCCUCAAGUGAAAUACCAAAUCAACUAACCAAGUAGACGCCCAUUGAGCUAAAUUUCGGACGGCGGUCCAAUUCCGCCCAUCUCCACUC